AUUUAACAGAAUUACAUGUAUUUAGCAGAAUUACAUGUAUUUAACAGAAUUACAUGUAUUUAACAGAAUUACAUGUAUUUAGCAGAAUUACAUGUAUUUAAGUAUUUUGCUCGUGGGGAAAGUAACAUUAGUACUUAAAAAAACAAUACUUUAAACAUUUUAAUAUUUUUUAUUAUUUUUAUGUUAUAAGCUCACAUACUAUACAUUGAAAAUAUGAAGUAUUAAGGUGUAUAAGAGAAUAAACGUGUUUUAAUUAAUAUUAACAUUAAUAAAUGAAUUUCCACAGCUUCCUAAAUGUUUUUUUUACAAGAUGACAGAGUGGCCUUUCCUACCCAGGUCUGGUGUUGGAGAUCAUUCCACACUCUGUGUUCUACUACCCAGGUCAUUCUACACUCUGUGUUCUACUACCCAGGUCAUUCUACACUCUGUGUUCUACUACCCAGGUCUGGUGUUGGAGAUCAUUCUACACUCUGUGUUCUACUACCCAGGUCUGGUGUUGGAGAUCAUUCUACACUCUGUGUUCUACUACCCAGGUCUGGUGUUGGAGAUCAUUCUACACUCUGUGUUCUACUACCCAGGUCUGGUGUUGGAGAUCAUUCUACACUCUGUGUUCUACUACCCAGGUCUGGUGUUGGAGAUCAUUCUACACUCUGUGUUCUACUACCCAGGUCUGGUGUUGGAGAUCAUUCUACACUCUGUGUUCUACUACCCAGGUCAUUCUACACUCUGUGUUCUACUACCCAGGUCUGGUGUUGGAGAUCAUUCCACACUCUGUGUUCUACUACCCAGGUCUGGUGUUGGAGAUCAUUCUACACUCUGUUCUAAUACCCAGGUCUGGUGUUGGAGAUCAUUCUACACUCUGUGUUCUACUACCCAGGUCUGGUGUUGGAGAUCAUUCUACACUCUGUGUUCUACUACCCAGGUCUUGUUGGAGAUCAUUCUACACUCUGUGUUCUACUACCCAGGUCUGGUGUUGGAGAUCAUUCUACACUCUGUGUUCUACUACCCAGGUCUUGGCGGAGGUCAUUCUACACUCUGUGGAUCUCCUGAGUGUAUUUUCUGAUGUUUAAUCAGAGAACUUGAAUGAGAGUAUCUCUUGUCACACUGAUCACAGCCAUAAGGCUUCUCUCCAGUGUGUAUUCUCUGGUGUACUGCCAGGUUGCUUGAGGUAGAACAACUCGUCCCGCAGUCAGAGCAGUGGUAAGGUUUCUCUCCGGUGUGGGUUCUCUUGUGUGAUAUCAGGUUACUUGAGGUAGUACAUCUCUUCCCACAAUCUGGGCAGUGGUAAGGCUUUUCACCAGUGUGGGUUCUCUGAUGUACUAUCAGUAUGUCUAAUAAAGCAAAACUCUUCCCACAUUCAGAGCAGUGGUGAGGCUUCUCUCCUGUGUGUGUUCUCUGGUGAGAUUUUAAAUGUGAUGAUCUAACAAAACCCUUCCCACAGUCAGAGCAGUGGUAAGGUUUUCUCCUGUGUGUAUUCUCUGGUGUACAAUCAGGUGACUUGGCUGAGUAAAACUCUUCCCACAUUGAUCACAGCUAUAAGGCUUCUCUCCUGUAUGUGUUCUCUGGUGUGUUAUCAGAUAGCUUGAGGUAGUAAAGCUCAAUCCACAGUUGGAGCAGCGAUAAGGCUUCUCUCCAGUGUGUAUUCUCUUGUGACAGUCAGGUUUGAUGACUGAGUGAAUCGCUUCCCGCAUUGAUCACAGCCAUAUGGCCUCUCUCCUGUAUGUGUUCUCUGGUGUAUAAUCAGUUCACUUGAGGAGGUUAAGCUUUUCCCACAGUCUGAGCAGUGGUGAGGCUUCUCUCCAGUGUGCGUUCGCUGGUGCAGCUUUAAACGCUGUGAUGUUGAAAAGGUCCUCUCACAGUCAGAGCAGUGGUAAGGCUUCUCUCCUGUGUGUGUCAACUGGUGUUUUGUCAGGUUCCCUAGUUGAGAAAAUCUCUUCAAACAGUCAGUGCAGCUAUAAGGUUUCUCUCCUGUAUGGAUUCUGUGGUGUAUUUUAAGUUCUGUUGAAGAGGUGAAACUCUUCCCACAGUCAGAGCAGUGGUGAGGUUUCUUCCCUGUGGAUCUCCGCUGGGGUUUCUUGAGGUGUUCUGAUUUGGAGAGACUCUUCUCAGCCUCGUCAGCAUCAUGAUGUUGUUGAGGCUCCCCAGAGGAUCCACAACACUCACGUCUCUCUCCUGUGUGAACGACAAAAUAAGACAGUCAAUGUAGUGAAUGUUUAAAUGCUUUUACAAACUUUUUUUGACAACUGUCUUCUAACAAUAAGAUGGUCAAGUGAAGAACAAUAGUC